GAUGAACGCUGGCGGCGUGCCUAAUACAUGCAAGUCGAGCGAACAGACGAUGAGCUUGCUCCUUUGACGUUAGCGGCGGACGGGUGAGUCACACGUAGGUAACCUCCCUGUAAGACUGGGAUAACUUCGGGAAACCGGAGCUAAUACGGGAGAAUAUUUCGAACCACAUGGUUCGAUAGAGAAAGAUGGCGUUGCUGUCACUUAUAGAUGGACCUGCGCCGUAUGAGCUAGUUGGUAAGGUAACAGGUUACCAAGGCAACGCUUCGUAGCCGAGCGGAGAGGGUGAUAGGCCACACUGGAGCUGAGACACGGUCAAGACGCCUACGGGAGGGAGCAGUCGGGAAUCUGAGGCAAUGGGCGAAAGCCUGACGGAGCAACGGGGCGUGUGUGAUGACGGUCCUGGGAGCGUAAAACCGUGUUAUUAGGGAUGAACAACUGUGGACGGAAACGUGCCCGGCGUGACGGUAACUAAUCAGAAAGCACCGGCUAACUACGUG
rnacentral:rRNA from 1 species